AUUGAACGCUGGCGGCAUGCCUUACACAUGCAAGUCGAACGGUAACGGGCCUUCGGGUGCCGACGAGUGGCGAACGGGUGAGUAAUACAUCGGAACGUGCCCGAUCGUGGGGGAUAACGAGGCGAAAGCUUUGCUAAUACCGCAUACGAUCUACGGAUGAAAGCAGGGGACCGCAAGGCCUUGCGCGGGCGGAGCGGCCGAUGGCAGAUUAGGUAGUUGGUGGGAUAAAAGCUUACCAAGCCGACGAUCUGUAGCUGGUCUGAGAGGAUGAUCAGCCACACUGGGACUGAGACACGGCCCAGACUCCUACGGGAGGCAGCAGUGGGGAAUUUUGGACAAUGGGCGCAAGCCUGAUCCAGUCAUGCCGCGUGCAGGAUGAAGGCCUUCGGGUUGUAAACUGCUUUUGUACGGAACGAAAAGCCUUCUUUUAAUACAGGAGGGUCAUGACGGUACCGUAAGAAUAAGCACCGGCUAACUACGUG
rnacentral:rRNA from 1 species